rnacentral:rRNA from 1 species
UACGGGGGGGGCAAGCGUUGUUCGGAAUUACUGGGCGUAAAGGGCUCGUAGGUGGCCAACUAAGUCAGACGUGAAAUCCCUCGGCUUAACCGGGGAACUGCGUCUGAUACUGGAUGGCUUGAGUUCGGGAGAGGGAUGCGGAAUUCCAGGUGUAGCGGUGAAAUGCGUAGAUAUCUGGAGGAACACCGGUGGCGAAGGCGGCAUCCUGGACCGAGACUGACACUGAGGAGCGAAAGCCAGGGAAGCAAACGGG